rnacentral:rRNA from 1 species
GGUGGGGAUGACGUCAAGUCAGCAUGGCCCUUACGUCCGGGCGUACACACGUGCUACAAUGGCCGGUACAAAGGGUUAGCGAAGCCGUGAGGUGGAGCGAAUCUCAAAAAGACCGGCCUCAGUUCGGAUUGGAGGCUGCAGCUCGCCUCCAUGAAGUCGGAAUCGCUAGUAACCGCAGAUCAGCUACGUUGCGGUGAAUACGUUCCCGGGCCUU